GACGAACGCUGGCGGCGUGCUUAACACAUGCAAGUCGAACGGAAAGGCCCUGCUUUUGUGGGGUGCUCGAGUGGCGAACGGGUGAGUAACACGUGAGUAACCUGCCCUUGACUUUGGGAUAACUUCAGGAAACUGGGGCUAAUACCGGAUAGGAGCUCCUGCUGCAUGGUGGGGGUUGGAAAGUUUCGGCGGUUGGGGAUGGACUCGCGGCUUAUCAGCUUGUUGGUGGGGUAGUGGCUUACCAAGGCUUUGACGGGUAGCCGGCCUGAGAGGGUGACCGGCCACAUUGGGACUGAGAUACGGCCCAGACUCCUACGGGAGGCAGCAGUGGGGAAUAUUGCACAAUGGGCGGAAGCCUGAUGCAGCAACGCCGCGUGCGGGAUGACGGCCUUCGGGUUGCAAACCGCUUUCGCCUGUGACGAAGCGUGAGUGACGGUAAUGGGUAAAGAAGCACCGGCUAACUACGUA
rnacentral:rRNA from 1 species